rnacentral:sRNA from 1 species
ACCAAUCGCGCGUAUUCUUUAACAUGAGAAAUUUCUGCCCGCCCACUUAUUUGGUUGACACCCCCACUUUCAUGUGAUAGACUGAUAACGGUUAAGAUUUAAAUGUAGCGAACAUGUGUGGCCUCCGAGGUUUACCUCCAGGAUAGGAAUACGUUGUUUGCGAAGUUUAGGUUUUUGACUAGUAUCUUUUAGGAGGCCAUCAAAUGACUGGCAAAGUAAAAUGGUUCAACGCAGAAAAGGGUUAUGGUUUCAUCGAGUGCGACAACGGUAACGACGUAUUCGUCCAUUUCUCCGCUAUUCAAGGCACAGGCUUUAAGACCCUCAACGAAGGCGAAGAAGUUUCCUUUGAUAUCGUAGAAGGCGACCGGGGCCCUCAGGCUGCUAACGUAGUUCGCCACUAAACCUUUCUCGCAAAAAAAGCUGCUGGAAUUCAUCCAGCAGCUUUUUU